rnacentral:lncRNA from 1 species
CACUGCGGUAGGUACGUGAAAGUUGGCAAGAGCGUAAAUCCUAAGAAUUCUCAUCACAAGAGAAACAAUUUUUUCUCUCUUCCUUCCUUCCUUCCUUCCUUCCUUCCUUCCUUCCUUCCUUCCUUCUUCUUUCCUUCCCUCCUUCCUUCCUUCUUCCUCCUUUCUUUCUUUCUUUCUUUCUUUCUUUCUUUCUUUCUUUCUUUCUUUCUUUCUUUCCUUCCUUCCUUCUUUCUUCCUUCCUCCUUCAUUUCUUCCUUCCUUCCUUCCUUCCUCCUUCCUUCCUUCCUUCCUUCCUUCUUCCUUCUUCCUUCCUUCCUUCCUUCCUUCCUUCCUUCCUUCCUCCUUCCUUCUUCCUCCUUCCUUCUUCCUUCCUCCUCCUUCCUUCCUUCCUUCUUCCUUCCUUCCUUCCUUCCUUCCUUCUUCCUUCCUUCCUUCCUCUUCCUUCCUCCUUCCUUCCUUCCUUCCUUCCUUAUUUCUUUUCUUUCUUUCUUUCUUUCUUCCUUCCUUCCUUCCUUCCUUCCUUCUUCCUCCUUCCUUCCUUCCUUCCUCCUCCUUCCUUCCUUCCUCCUUCCUUCCUUCCUCCUUCCUUCCUCCUUCCUUCCUUCCUUCCUUCUCCUUCCUUCCUUCUUCCUUCCUUCCUUCCUUCCUUCCUUCCUUCCUUCUCCUUCCUUCCUCCUUCCUCCUUCCUUCCUCUUCCUUCCUCCUCCUUCCUUCCUUCCUUCCUUCUUCCUUCCUCCUUCCUUCCUUCCUUAUUUCUUUUCUUUCUUUCUUCCUUCCUUCCUUUCUUCUUCUUUCUUUCUUUCUUUCUUCUUUCCUUCCUUCCUUCCUUCCUCUUCCUUCCUUCCUUUCUUCUUUCUUUCUUUCUUUCUUUCUUUCUUUCUUUCUUUCUGUAUCUAUAUCAGAUGGUGGAUGUUAACCAAUUGUGGUCAUCAUUUCACAAUAUAUGCAAGUCAAGUCACACUGUUCAAAAGCUUGAGCAGGGCUGUAUGUCAAUUAUAUCUCAAUAAAACUGGGUGGGGAGGGAGAAGUGCUUCUAGAAAAAUCUGA